rnacentral:rRNA from 1 species
AUUGAACGCUGGCGGCAGGCUUAACACAUGCAAGUCGAGCGGGGGAAGGUAGCUUGCUACCGGACCUAGCGGCGGACGGGUGAGUAAUGCGUAGGAAUCUGCCUAUUAGUGGGGGACAACAUCUCGAAAGGGAAGCUAAUACCGCACACGUCCUACGGGAGAAAGCAGGGGAGCUUCGGACCUUGCGCUAAUAGAGGAGCCUAAGUAGGAUUAGCUAGGUGGUGGGGUAAAGGCCUACAAAGGCGACGAUCUUUAGCGGGUCUGAGAGGAUGGUCCGCCACACUGGGACUGAGGCACGGCCCAGAUUCCUCCGGGAGGCAGCAGUGGGGAAUAUUGGACAAUGGGGGGAACCCUGAUCCAGCCAUGCCGAGUGUGUGAAGAAGGCCUUAUGGUUGUAAAGCACUUUAAGCGAGGAGGAGGCUACUCUAGUUAAUACCUAGGGAUAGUGGACGUUACUCGCAGAAUAAGCAGCGGCUAACUCUGUGCCAGCAGCCGCCGUAA